rnacentral:rRNA from 1 species
GGUGAAAAGCACCCCGGAAGGGGAGUGAAAUAGAACCUGAAACCGUGUGCUUACAAGUAGUCAGAGCCCGUUAAUGGGUGAUGGCGUGCCUUUUGUAGAAUGAACCGGCGAGUUACGAUUUGAUGCAAGGUUAAGCAGUAAAUGUGGAGCCGUAGCGAAAGCGAGUCUGAAUAGGGCGUUUAGUAUUUGGUCGUAGACCCGAAACCAGGUGAUCUACCCUUGGUCAGGUUGAAGUUCAGGUAACACUGAAUGGAGGACCGAACCGACUUACGUUGAAAAGUGAGCGGAUGAACUGAGGGUAGCGGAGAAAUUCCAAUCGAACCUGGAGAUAGCUGGUUCUCUCCGAAAUAGCUUUAGGGCUAGCCUCAAGUGAUGAUUAUUGGAGGUAGAGCACUGUUUGGACGAGGGGCCCCUCUCGGGUUACCGAAUUCAGACAAACUCCGAAUGCCAAUUAAUUUAACUUGGGAGUCAGAACAUGGGUGAUAAGGUCCGUGUUCGAAAGGGAAACAGCCCAGACCACCAGCUAAGGUCCCAAAAUAUAUGUUAAGUGGAAAAGGAUGUGGCGUUGCCCAGACAACUAGGAUGUUGGCUUAGAAGCAGCCAUCAUUUAAAGAGUGCGUAAUAGCUCACUAGUCGAGUGACACUGCGCCGAAAAUGUACCGGGGCUAAACAUAUUACCGAAGCUGUGGAUUGUCCUUUGGACAAUGGUAGGAGAGCGUUCUAAGGGCGUUGAAGCAUGAUCGUAAGGACAUGUGGAGCGCUUAGAAGUGAGAAUGCCGGUGUGAGUAGCGAAAGACGGGUGAGAAUCCCGUCCACCGAUUGACUAAGGUUUCCAGAGGAAGGCUCGUCCGCUCUGGGUUAGUCGGGUCCUAAGCUGAGGCCGACAGGCGUAGGCGAUGGAUAACAGGUUGAUAUUCCUGUACCACCUAUAAUCGUUUUAAUCGAUGGGGGGACGCAGUAGGAUAGGCGAAGCGUGCGAUUGGAUUGCACGUCUAA